AUCGCUUCUCGGCCUUUUGGCUAAGAUCAAGUGUAGUAUCUGUUCUUAUCAGUUUAAUAUCUGAUAUGUCCUCUAUACGAGGACAACAUAUUAAGGUGAUUUUUAGAACUGGGGGCCGAAAAAGGGGCUUGCUCCGUUCGCUCCACGCAUCGACCCGGCAUUGCAGUACCGCCAGGUACGGUGCAACCUUC
rnacentral:snRNA from 1 species